CCGACCGACACGAAAGCCCUUUCGCGACACGCCUCGCACAUUUCCACGCACGACGCCUCCCCCACAGUUCUCCGACUCAUGUUUUCCCCGAAAGGGGAAUGUCCAUCGUGGGCCUCUCAAAAAGGCUGGGACCCUGUCAAUACGCCGCCCUAGAGCCUGGAUCGGGACCUCUUUGUCUGCGGUAUCAAGUAUUGCUGGUGCCGCGUCAUGCUUGGAAACAAGCUUGGCACGGUCUAAUGAGGGAAUGUGUUUCGGAACUUAACCCUAAUAGCGUACCUUGGUUCGCUCAAAGUCUUGCGCUCCUCGUCUGUUCGAAGCUGCUGUUUAUUUCACCUAGGCCACCCUACCGCGCCGCCGCUGAAAAGUGGUCCCGUGGAUUCGGGCGUCUGGAGGAAGGACCAGCGGUAGAGAAACAAUCCAGUCACCGGCUUUCUGGUGUGUGAAAGGGCAGGUCUUUGAGUCAAAAGCGGGUAAGAGCCUCUGGUCUGAGGUCGCUCAACAGGUCUGUUCCGCUGGAGUUUGACGUAGGCCACCAAGAGACCGUUCUAGAGAAGCGGGUAGUCUCGACUGGUCUGGGAAAUGUCGACGAAUGCGUAUCCUUCCGAGGUCUAAACUUGCCCCAUAGGUCGGGAUCCUCCUGCCUACACUUGUGGCGUUUGGUGUGCGGUUGAAGAGAAUGGGUAGGGCACGGCUCGGCUACACACGGUCAGGACUUCCGUUCAUUUCAAUCGCCUUUGCGUGGGUUGCCUCGCCCGAAUCACUUGGUCUUUCAAUCAAGCCUUGUGAGCGAGGCACCCUCAGCUACAUACAGAAAUGACAUCUUUCAACCCUGAUUUGUGGCUUUCUGCCACUACACAGCCUGUGCGAGGCCCUCCGUACCCUGCAUCUUCUGACACAAACCCGGAAGCCAUUAACGGUGGACGCGCAUUCUCGACGUGGACCUCCCAACUCGGAUGACUGCGCUCUAGGCCUCGCCGUGACAGUUGUUACGGCGUGUCAUGUUUUGCCAUGUGGUCUGGCCAGCGCAUUAACUUCCAAGUCAUGGUUGCCUAGUCCCAUGAUGUAGGGGGACGCCAAAUCUCCGCCCUUUUGGGCAAAUUUCCCUCUUUAUCGGACCCACAAAUAAGCGAGACAAGAGAUGAUAGCACGGGUUUUGUUGGGCGUUUUUGUCCGUGCGGAACCAGCCCUCCGUCUGGCCUUAUCAACGACCUUCGACGGAGAGGAAACAAGAACACGUCUUUCGUUGGCACUGCGUACAUACGGAGAAGGCUUUCGUCGGUCCUACUAGAUUCUGCUUUGGUACCUGCGUUUAUGCUGUGGGAUUAGGGUUGGCGUGGGGCGAUGACGUCUCUGGCUCAUUGAUGGCAUCAUCGAACCGGUCUCGAGCAAAACUGCUACUUGGGUUCUCCGGACUGGCUUGAUUUCGGCCUCGUAUUCAGGAGGAAGGUCGUGGCCGGAUGAGCGACUGAAGCGGUUCCGGAACCCAACGAACGGUUGGUGUUUUGAAGCUUGGUGCUUCGCUGGGACUCGUGGAUGGUUCAUCUGCUAGUCUUUCUGAAUGGGUGUGGGCAACCGGGACCAUUCAAGUUUUAGGGCUCCCUCCUUUUUCUUUUUCUUUUUUUUUUGGCACAGCCUCUUUUGUUGGACAAGGACAGGCCAUGAGGUUGGUAGUCCUGGUCGCGCCCUCUCCAGAAAUGGCGAGGGCGCGACCCUCCAUCUGUUUUGGGG
rfam:Pseudallescheria apiosperma strain IHEM 14462 SEQ_SAPIO_0106, whole genome shotgun sequence.